rnacentral:misc_RNA from 1 species
UUUCCGUAGGUGAACCUGCGGAAGGAUCAUUACAGUGUUCCCUGUCCUUCGGGGUAGGUUCGCCACCCCUGACAUCAAAUGAGAGUCGUUUUGGCUGGCCUCGCGGCCUGGCCGUGCCACGGCUACGGGGGGGGAGCGCCUGCCAGAGGAAUCUAAAAACCAGAUUAUCAAAGUUGUUCGUGUAAUAAUUAAUAAAUAAUACUAACAACAACGGACUUCUUGGUUCUGGCAUCGAUGAAGGAAGCAGCAGAUAGGAAGAGAACACGUAAUACCAGCAGC